rnacentral:rRNA from 1 species
GACGAACGCUGGCGGCGUGCCUAAUACAUGCAAGUAGAACGCUGAAGAGAGGAGCUUGCUCUUCUUGGAUGAGUUGCGAACGGGUGAGUAACGCGUAGGUAACCUGCCUUGUAGCGGGGGAUAACUAUUGGAAACGAUAGCUAAUACCGCAUAACAAUGGAUGACACAUGUCAUUUAUUUGAAAGGGGCAAUUGCUCCACUACAAGAUGGACCUGCGUUGUAUUAGCUAGUAGGUGAGGUAAUGGCUCACCUAGGCGACGAUACAUAGCCGACCUGAGAGGGUGAUCGGCCACACUGGGACUGAGACACGCCCCAGACUCCUACGGGAGGCAGCAGUAGGGAAUCUUCGGCAAGGGGGGCAACCCUGACCGAGCAACGCCGCGGGAGUGAAGAAGGUUUUCGGAUCGUAAAGCUCUGUUGUAAGUCAAGAACGGGUGUGAGAGUGGAAAGUUCACACUGUGACGGUAGCUUACCAGAAAGGGACGGCUAACUACGUG